rnacentral:tRNA from 1 species
GGAAGGAUGGCUGAGCUGGUUGAAGGCGCACGACUCGAAAUCGUGUUUGGCGUAAAAACCAACGAGGGUUCGAAUCCCUCUCCUUCCGCCA